CACCCGAUAGCACACGGUGUGCACCUGCUCUCAUUUGCAAGGGACUGAUGGAGUGUAAGCAGGAGGCCCCCGUUCGACUCGGGGUCGGGUGA